rnacentral:rRNA from 1 species
GACGAACGCUGGCGGCGUGCUAAUGAUGCGAGUCGAACGGAGUGCAACACUGUCACACGUUCGGGUGCGACAACCGUUGCACUUAGUGGCGAACGGGUGAGUAACACGUGGGUAACGUACCUCCGAGGCGGGCAUAACAGAGGGAAACCUCUGCUAAUUCCCGAUAUGCUGCCGAUGCCUUGGCAUCGACCAGGAAAGCUCCGGCGCUCGGAGAUCGGCCCGCGGUCCGUUAGCUUGUUGGUGAGGUAACGGCUCACCAAGGCGACGAUGGAUAGCUGGUCUGAGAGGACGAUCAGCCACACUGGGACUGCGACAUGGUCCAGACUCCUACGGGAGUUAGCAUCCGGGAAUCUUGCACAAUGGGCGCAAGCCUGAUGCAGCGACGCCGCGUGGGCGAUGAAGGUCUGCGGAUCGUAAAGCCCUGUCAGGAGGGAAGAAGUUCUGACUGUACCUCCAAAGGAAGCCCCGGCUAACUACGUGCCAGCAGCCGCGGUAAUACGUAGGGGGCCAGCGUUGUCCGGAAUUACUGGGCGUAAAGCGCACGCAGGCGGUUUGGAAAGCGGCGGGUGCAAUACCGGGGCUCAACUCCGGCACCGCUCGCCGAACUACCAGACUGGAGCGCGGGAGAGGGCAGUGGAAUUCCCGGUGUAGCGGUGGAAUGCGUAAAUAUCGGGAGGAACACCAGUGGCGAAGGCUGCUGCCUGGAACGUUGCUGACGCUGAGGUGCGAAAGCCAGGGGAGCGAACG